UGAUGUGGAUGUUGUGGAGAGCCUAGUGGUGCAACUCACAUACGUCUGUAAAGAAGGAAAAUUGAUUGUGUCACAGCAAAUGAGCUGCUGCUGGUCUGAUCAGCCUCACUGAAGUCAAGGUUUGCACUCAAGUGCCAUUAGUUUGGAGUUACAUGUCAGGUAUAAUUUAAUACUGAGAAUCUAGAAGUGUCUGACUGGACUUUGGAGAGAGCCUAACCCCUCUGUUCUGCAUGUCAAAUUAACUACCCAGUAGUGAGUUCCCCUGGCAAAAUGAUCACCCGUUGGCCAGCUGCCACACCGCAAAGCUCCCCAUACAACCGUCUCAGAAAUGGAAACUUGUUAUUCUGUAGCUGCCCUGUGAAUACCCGUUCUGUCAAGGCUGGAGGGAAAUAUUUGGGGCAGGCAGGCUGAGAAAACAGAGAGGUGUUGGGUGUCAGAAUUGAUUUAAACGGGCUGCAGCUUUGCGCAUAAGCACUGGAGCUCAGCAGCCAGAGGAUAGGAGGUAGCAAAAGCUGGGGGCUCGAGGCAGAAGAAAGUGUGCUAGAGAUAACCUUGAACACCCAAGAGCUUCAUUUGGAUGUAAGAAGAGAUCAUUGUUUGUUCCAGCAUGACAUGUGAGGUCUUCCUAAUUUUCACAAGCAGGUAGCAGUUGUGUUUACAGGACUCCUGGUACACUGCUGCUGGCAAAUUAAUGAACAUUAAUCCCAGGUGCCCCUACAGGCUGAGCUGCCAGGGGACCAGAGAGGUCUACAGAAAGAGAAAGAAAUGUGUACCUGAAAUAUGUGUCUAUAUCAUCACUUCUUUCCAAUGAGGAACAUUUCCAUAUUGAUAUACUGAUGAACAGUAUCUGAAAGCAGUAGACUUUUGUAAAUCUACUGUGGGUAUGAACUUUUAUCCUUAACAUAUCUUGAAUCAAUUUGUGUUGCCCAAUCUGUAUCUAUAAUUUUAAUGCUACUUUCAUGGGCAUUUCCAAAGUAUUAGGGCAUUUACUUGUCUUUUUAACUACUGCUUAUAUGACAAGAUUGCUUUACAAAACAGGUUUUGUUAUUUAUUAUGAAUGCUAGGGAGUAGCUGACUAUUUGAUGAGAUGCUGGAUUCACUUGUGUGUGUUGUGGAAAAGUAAGUACUCUAAUCUCAAGUCAGGCCUGAAGUAUUCAUUCAGCAAUAUUAAUAUCUGAAGAUGUACCACAAAGGGGCUGAUAAGAAAUGCUGUGAAAGGCAAGAAGGUUGUAAAGUUUAGUGUGGAAUGAUAGAUAUAAGUCAUGUGGAUCAUACUGAAUUUUUGAAAGUUUUUGUAGGAAUUUAGUAUGACAACACCUCCAUCAACAUGGUUAAAGCAGAAGAAGAAUCAAGAAUUCUGCUUAUUUGCAGAAUUGGACUUCAGAAAAGAAGUAUUUUGAGGAUCCCAUAUAAUUUCAUUUGGGCAUUACACGUUAAGAAUGUCUCUUCUCCAUUUAUUUCUGGAGGAAUCUGAAAAUUGCCAUACCUGAUCAAACAGAAAUUAAAGGUAUCCUGUUGUCUUCUCUCCAUACUCAUGUCUUCAGAAGAAACUGUAUGUCUGUGUACAUGGAACAGGGAAAGCUCCUUCCUGUCUUAUUCCAACAGAAGCGAACUGGUUCAUACCAUUCAUUUUAAGAUUAUUUCCACAGUAACUUAAUCAUUUUCAUUUACCAUGUAAACAUUCAGCUACUUGUUAAUCUUAUUUAAAUAUUGACACAGUCCUCAAUUGUCAGUGACCACUAUAGACUCACUCUAAACCAUGUAAAAAAAGUCUCCUGGGGGAUUACCUUUUAAUCUGAUGUUGCCACUAAAAUUCACAGAUGUCCUUUACUUUUAUUAUCAUUUUCACUCAUCCAUUUCUCCUUUCUACACGGAGCAAAUUUGGUCUCUUCACAGAUAUGGAAGUCUGUCAUUCUUGCAAGCUUUUUUGUCACCUGACAAAAGUCCUUUCCCAGAAUUUACCUGGAGGUGUUCGUUACCCGGCCAGUUCCAUCUAUGCAACUACAGCCCAGGCUAGUAGUAUGCAAAUCAAAUUAUCCUCCCAGAUUUGGAUUUGCUGCUGUGCCAGCCAUGCCAUUACCACCAAAUUUUCACACUGUUCCUUUGAUGGAAUGAAAUGCAAACUCUGGGAGACAUUUCAAAGAUGGCUUGUGAACUUUCACUUUCCCAUCUGACUGUUGUACAAGUGUGGAGUAUGAUCUAUUUUUAAUCACAAGUCCAAAUUCUGUACAAUUCAAACACUGUCAGCUUUUCUGCAGACAAGCAAUAUAAUGUGUAUGUUUAUGAACUUGUUGCUGGCUUGUAUUAAGGGCCUGACUGUAUCUCAGCCUGCAAAAUCAAAUUAGAGUAACAGAAAUGUAUAAUUUUCUACUCUCCCCCAGAAAUACUGUGCUUGGAGAACAGCAGUUGCAAGCUUCAAGGCCAGGUCAAGAUCACUGUCAAAAUGCGGCCCUUCGUGCCAAAUUAUCAGUCAAAGAUCAUCUCCUCUUCCUUCCUAACAGCCCAUAACAACAGAAGCUCCCACCAGAAACUUGAAGCUUGUCAGCACCGUGUUUGGAUUUCAAUAUAUUGUUUGUAAAUAAAGACCCUGUAGGACAUU
ensembl:lncRNA